UUGUAAGUGACAAUAUUAGGA
rnacentral:siRNA from 1 species